AGAGCGAACGCUGGCGGCAGGCCUAACACAUGCAAGUCGAACGCGACUUCGGUCGAGUGGCGCACGGGUGAGUAACGCGUGGGAACCUGUCCUGUGGUACGGAAUAACAUCGGGAAACUGGUGCUAAUACCGUAUAUCCCCUGAGGGGGAAAGAUUUAUCGCCAUAGGAGGGGCCCGCGUAGGAUUAGCUAGUUGGUGAGGUAACGGCUUACCAAGGCGACGAUCCUUAGCUGGUCUGAGAGGAUGAUCAGCCACACUGGGACUGAGACACGGCCCAGACUCCUACGGGAGGCAGCAGUGGGGAAUAUUGGACAAUGGGCGAAAGCCUGAUCCAGCCAUGCCGCGUGAGUGAUGAAGGCCUUCGGGUUGUAAAGCUCUUUCGCACGUGACGAUGAUGACGGUAACGUGAGAAGAAGCCCCGGCUAACUUCGUGCCAGCAGCCGC
rnacentral:rRNA from 1 species